GAUUGACCUCGGAUCAGGUAGGGAUACCCGCUGAACUUAAGCAUAUCAAUAAGCGGAGGAAAAGAAACCAACAGGGAUUGCCUCAGUAACGGCGAGUGAAGCGGCAACAGCUCAAAUUUGAAAUCUGGCUCCUUCGGGGCCCGAGUUGUAAUUUGUAGAGGACGUUUCGGGUGCGGCCCGGUCUAAGUCCCUUGGAACAGGGCGUCAUAGAGGGUGAGAAUCCCGUAUGUGACCGGUGACCAACCCCAUGUGAAACCCCUUCGACGAGUCGAGUUGUUUGGGAAUGCAGCUCAAAAUGGGUGGUAAAUUCCAUCUAAAGCUAAAUACUGGCCAGAGACCGAUAGCGCACAAGUAGAGUGAUCGAAAGAUGAAAAGCACUUUGGAAAGAGAGUCAAACAGUACGUGAAAUUGUUGAAAGGGAAGCGCUGGCAACCAGACCUGCCCCGGGCGAUCAGCGGGUGUUCUCACCCGUGCACUCGCCCGCGAUCAGGCCAGCAUCGGUUUCGGCGGUCGGAUACAGACCCGGGGAACGUGGCUCUCUUCGGGGAGUGUUAUAGCCCCGGGUGCAAUGCGGCCAGCCGGGACCGAGGACCGCGCUUCGGCUAGGAUGCUGGCGUAAUG
rnacentral:rRNA from 1 species